GCCUUGCAACACAUCGGUGUCAUCUCUGCUCGCCUCUUGGCCCAGGCCGUGAAAGCAUGGCAGCUGCAGAGGCAGAGGUGGUUUCACCUCUGAUUGUGGACACAGCUCCUGACACUUCAGGAACAGCCGAGGCCUCUGUAGCAGCAUCGGUGGCGGAAGCGGCCAGGACUGAAUCGCAAGCCCCGGCCUCCAAGGCCGCCCUGGCUGCUAAGCUCAUGUCGCUGAGCGGCGUGUUCGCCGUGCACAAGCCCAAAGGGCCCACUUCAGCCGAGCUGCUGAACCGGCUGAAGGAGAAGCUGCUGGCAGAAGCUGGAAUGCCUUCUCCAGAAUGGAACAAGAGGCAAAAGCAGACAUUGAAAGUCGGACACGGAGGGACGCUGGACAGUGCAGCGCAAGGUGUUCUGGUGGUUGGGAUUGGAAGAGGAACAAAAAUGUUGACCAGUAUGUUGUCGGGGUCCAAGAGGUAUAUCACCAUCGGAGAACUGGGGAAAGCCACGGACACCCUGGAUUCUACUGGGAAGGUAACGGAAGAGAAGCCGUAUGAUAAAAUAACACGAGAAGAUAUCGAAGGCAUUCUGCAGAAGUUUACUGGGAAUAUAAUGCAAGUACCCCCGCUCUAUUCUGCGCUGAAGAAGGAUGGGCAGAGACUCUCAACGCUAAUGAAGAAAGGCAAGGUGGUGGAGGCCAGACCGGCCCGGCCCGUGACUGUCCACAGUAUCUCCCUCCUGAAGUUCCAGCCUCCGUUCUUCACGCUGGGGUUUCUCUGUAUAGCCCUGGCUGUCCUGGAACUCACUUUGUAGACCAGGCUGGCCUCGAACUCAGAAAUCCGCCUGCCUCUGCCUCCUGAGUGCUGGGAUUAAAGGCAUGUGCUAUCAUGCCCGGCGCUGGAAUUUUUUUUGAAUGUAAGAAAAGUUGUGGUUUGAUUUCCUGAGGUACAUGUAACUUCUUACAGGUUCAGGGUAACCCGAGUAGACCGAUGCUCGUGUUUGACUAUCAUCUUACUGUAAACUUGGGAUUGAAUACUUAGGAUCUCUUUAGAGAAAUACGUCGAGGAUGAGUGUUUUCAAGAUUUUAGAGGCUGCCCUCCAGAGAUGGCUCAGCAGUUAGGAGCACUAACUGCUCUUCCAAGGACCUGGGUUUGAUUCCCAGCACCCUCAUGGCGGUUCGCAGCCCUCCAUGACUCCAGUCCCAGGGAAUUCUAUACCCUCUGACCUCUUUGGGAAGGAGAUACACAGUCCUCAGACAUAUGCACAAAUAAAGACCACAAAUGUAACAAUUAAAGUAAAUAGAACUCUUACAAAAUUACAGUUUUUAUCUUACAGAUACUUUUUCUUCCAUUUUUUAUACUUAAUAUAUUUCAUUUUAGAGUAAAUAUUGAUCUUUUGAACGAAGCCCUUUUUGUUCAUUGGGAAUAAGAGGCUAUAAAAGCAGACUGAUUUCUGUUGGCCGGCCCCUCCGCUGUGAACUGCAAGUUAAUUGAUGUUAAAGUAGCUAAGACAAAAAGCAUGGUUGGACACCUGGUUACAGUUUUAGCUAAGCCUCUCAAUUGGAAUAUGUGAUGCAUACUUGAAGUCAAAUAAAAAGCCAAAAUACUUGUUUAUACAGUUUUAAAGUUGUACAAGCCUAUAUAGUUUUUUGUCCUCGGGCUCCUGAAAUUGAUCCAGUGAAUAAUUUCACAGUAACGGUGAAUAGAAUCUCUUUCCCAUGGGGUUUCCCAAAGCUAUCCUUCCUCCACCAUCACAGUGUCUCCUUGUGAUACACAGUAAGUUCCUGCAGACGGUGAUGCAGUCAAAACCGGGCUCAGUCUUAUGUUUCCUGAUUCUAAACGACUUGACAAACGAACAAAAACACAAACACCCCAGACCUACCAAGUGGUCCGUUCCAUUCACUCCAUGAAAACGCAGACUCCACUUUGGCAGAGCCAGUAAAACCUGGAGGAUCAGGGUUUCCUGGCUGCCAGUCAGUCAGAGAAGUGCCUCACUGUAUUGACCGGAGAGUGUGGAAGAGGGAGUGUACCUGGUUUCUUCUGCAAAGUCGGGUGUCAUGCAGGAGUCACCCUCCACGGCACUGUGUGGCUUAGAUUUAUCUAAUGCUUUGGUUAUGUUUUUCUCAGAAGUAUUUCCGAGGAAACGUGAGCACACAGGACUCUCGGUGUGUGCCUCCGAAGCAUAGUUCUUCUCAUGGGCAAAGGGAGUUUUGGUUGGUGCUUGGUUAUAUAUGUAUGUUUUUUCAAAUGUUAUAAAAUCUGAAAAUAUUUAAGAAAUCUACGGCUCGCAAUAGAAAAGCUGAGAUUUCUGACCAUUUCAAGCACAGUAAAUGAACAAAGUGUACAGAUCUGAAGAUAUUCUUUUUAGCAUCUCGAGCUCAUGAGAGCAGAGCUGGGAUUUCUAUUUCAAACCUAUUAAAUGAACAAGGCUGAGGUAUUAACGUGGUUCGGCUUGCCAGUUAAUUUAAAAUGUGUUCCUGACUUUCUGCCUACUCCACACUCAGACUUUUGGAUCUCACAAACACAUAUGCUGCUGGAUGAAUAAUUUAUGGCUCAGCAUAUAAAUAUUUUAUGGCUCAAUUGUUUGCAUAGCCAUUUUUACAUGUGUUGAAGAGCGUGGUUUCUAUGUAAAGUGGAGCUCUCCGGAGGCCAGCCUCUCACCACAGCACUGCUGACCUUCCAGAUGUUGAAUGCGGAGGAGGCUUUUACAUCCGGAGCCUGGUCAGUGACAUCGGCAAAGAGCUCUCUUCCUGUGCCAGCGUGCUGGAGCUGACCCGCACCAAACAGGGGCCCUUCACACUUGCACAGCACGCCCUCCCCGAAGACAGGUGGACCAUCGAUGACAUCGAACAGUCCCUCGAGCGCUGCACGUCUCUUCUGCCGGAGGAGCUGACAUUUAAAAAACUAAAAUCUGACAACUCCAGUGACCAGGUUAUAAGCUGUGGAUAUAUAACUCUCAGGGACACAAAGAGAGAAGAUGACGCAGUUAAGACACUGUGAGGCCGGCCUGGGAGGAUCAUUUCCUGGUUGGUGUCUGUCCCGACCAGGAAUGCCCAUACACCUCUUGAGUUCUUUGCAAGAUGUCUUAAUGUCUCUGAAUGAUGGAUCUGAUUGGAUUCAGAUAAAUAAGUUUUCUGAAUUUGAUCUUCCCUUAGUCUUUUUCCUAUGAAAAAGUUAAACAAUAUUCUAAUGACAGAAUCCUGAAGUCUGAGCUGCAGGUUCCACUGGUCUCACAGAAGUGUCAAACUUGCUUUGCUUAGACUCGGGGAGGGGGCGUUCGUUGUUUUGAAAUUCUCUGAAUACAUUUGAAGUGUUCAGUGUCGAGCUGUCCUGUGUGUUUGCAGAGCCUAUGGCUGCUGGAAGGUGCUGGUGGGCUGUACUCAGCUGUGACUGUGUUUCUUAAAUCCCGGGAAUCAAUACGUUGUCCUAAUACAUAUCUGUAAAUGCACAAACUCCUGCUUUGGCCACUGACAGAAUGUAAAUAGCGUGAGACGUGAUUCAUUUCAGAUCCUGUAUUCAGCAGAGCUCAGCUCCUGUAGCCGUGGACUGUGGCAGCUAUUUCUGUGGUCAACCACAUGGUAUCAAAGUACCAAAAAUGUGAUUUUCUAGAAUAUAAACUAAAGAAUGUAUCUUGAAUUAAAAUGCUCUCCUGCCUGUUCGUUAGCGCCUCUCUGUGACUGCGGAACCCUGGUCCAGUGACAUGGUUUCUGUAGUUAUGAAGAAUAUGAUCACAUUUUCAAACAGCAGAUUUUAUGAGUGCUUCAUUGUUUUGUUAUAGUAAUAUCUAUUCUUUUAUUGUGUGUUUUGAGUUCUUGAAGACAAGGAAACUGAGGACACUGGAGAGGCGAAGACACACUGCCUGUCCAGCAGGCACGGAGUGUAGAUUCUGCACCCACCCACAGCAGGCGGCUCUCGCUACUUCAGCUCCAAGGGACCCAGCACCCACUUGUGGCCUGUGGGCCCCUGUGAACGAACACCCAUGCCUCCACACACAUACAUAAAAUAAUUACUUUAAGAUAUCGAGAUUUAACGCAGGAUGGCCCCACUCAUUAUGUAGCCAAGACUCCUCCUGUAUCUACCUCCCAAGUGUAGAGGUUAGAGGCAUAGGCCACUGACUCCUGCAGGAAUGUGGAAAGGUAUUGUACAGCUGUGGCAAUAGUCAAGGCUUCCCUCAUUUACUAACGUAUAUUUUCAAAAAGAAGAUUUAUUAAACAUUCCGUAAAGUACAAGUUUUUAUAUUUUUCAUACCUUUCCUCUUAGAGGUUGUUGCCUCUAAAAUAUUUUAAAUAAGCAGACUGACGGUUUUAUUGUGGUUAAUGUAAUGCAAACCUAAUAUAAACAGUUGGGUGCUUCAACAGGGCAUUCUCAGCAGACUGGCAACGUGUUUUAAUAAAAACGUUAAUGUUAACUCAGGGCAGGUAACCUGGCUCAGCUGGUGACACCAGGACCAAUGACUUGAGCUUUGACCCCUGGGCAACCUUUGUGAGAACCUCUACCCCAGCAAGUUGUCCACAAACACUCUGCAGUGCGCGUACACCGUGCCCAUCCCCCACACAUAAAAAACCAAAAGAAUGAAAUGUUUUUAAAUUUAAAAACGAAUUCUUAGUAUGAGACUGAAAAAUACAAGUGUUGUAUUAUGGUAAAUUGAUGAAUUGGAAGUUACACAGCUUUGAGCCUGAUGUCACGGUGAAGCUUUAAUCCCAGCACUCAGGAGGCGUGGCCAUGUGGAGUUCUGUGAGUUCCAGGUCAGCCAGGACUACACAGGACUUCGGAGUGGGACCCUGUAUGUUUAUAUUUUUAUAUAUUCCUAUCUAAUGUCCUGUAAUUCGUGUAACCAAAGGUGAUGUUAGAUCCUGCUGCCCGUUAGAACGGACUAGGCUGUACAUGGUAUGUCUUCAUCAUGAACAGCUCAAGCCUGAAUAGACCAUACAGCCUAGAGGUUUCUUUUUUCUUUUUUCUUUUACUGGAUAUUUUAUUUAUUUACAUUUCAAAUGUUAUCCCCUUCCCCGGUUUCCCCUCCAGAAACCCCCAAUCCCACCAUCCCUCCCCCUGCUUCUAUGAGGGUGUUCCCCCACCCACCCACCCACUCCCAUAUCCCUGCCCUGGCAUUCUGGGGCAUCGAGCCUUCACAGGACCAAGGGCCUCUCCUCCCAUUGAUGCCCUACAAGGCUGUCCUCUGCUACAUAUGCGGCUGCAGCCAUGGGUCAAUCUAUACUCUUCUCAUAGUGAAGAGUAAAAUUUAUGAAAAAGCAAGCAAGUUCAAGAAAUGGCAGUCAGUCUUUUCCUUUUGUUUGGAAAUGCUGGAGAAAUUAUGCAGGUUUUAAAAAUGCCCAUAAUGUUCACCAUCUUAAUGCACUCAUUUUGGAUUUUAUUUUUAUAUUGCAUUUUCCUCUUUAUUUACAUAAUUCAGGCUCCUCUGCUCUUACUGAUUCUUGAGACGAUUUUAUCUGGGCACAUUUAGUCUUCACGAAUAUAUCUGUUAUAUCUCUGUACUCAGUUCAUUUAAACUACUUUCCCGGGGCUACACACAUAAGCAGCCUUUUUUUUUUUCUAGGACACAUUCUUGUAAUGUGGUUAUUUUAGGGGAAGCAAUAAGAGCUUGUGAUCCCCUGGGCUGUAACAUAUAGUACCACCAUUGUUUGGGAUUUUAUACAUUGUUGCUAAAGUUUCCCUGCUUUUGUGUGACCUACCUUCACACCCUGUUCAUUUGUCUAAAUAAAUGUUUCUUUGUAUGUAA